GAUCUCGCGGCGCUUGGCCGGCGGAAGUGACACAACCUGCCUCCAGGCUUUAGUGGGUCGCCGGGCCCCUCCUCCUAGAGCAGUCGCUUUUUCCCGCGCGAGCUUACCUCUGUUGCUCGGGCCACCAGCGGGGGGAAACAUGGCGUCUGCUCUGGAGCAGUUCGUGAACAGUGUCCGACAGCUCUCAGCUCAAGGGCAAAUGACUCAGCUUUGUGAACUCAUCAACAAGAGUGGAGAACUCCUUGCGAAGAACUUGUCCCAUCUGGACACUGUGCUUGGGGCUUUAGAUGUUCAAGAACACUCUUUGGGUGUCCUUGCUGUUCUGUUUGUGAAGUUCUCAAUGCCCAGUGUUCCUGACUUCGAAACACUAUUCUCACAGGUUCAGCUUUUCAUCAGUACAUGUAAUGGCGAGCACAUUCGAUAUGCAACAGAUACGUUUGCUGGGCUUUGCCAUCAGCUAACAAAUGCACUUGUGGAAAGAAAACAGCCCCUUCGAGGAAUUGGCAUCCUUAAGCAAGCCAUAGACAAGAUGCAGAUGAAUACCAACCAACUGACCUCAGUACAUGCCGAUCUCUGCCAGCUUUGUUUACUAGCGAAGUGCUUUAAACCUGCCCUUCCAUAUCUUGAUGUGGAUAUGAUGGAUAUCUGUAAAGAGAAUGGAGCCUAUGAUGCAAAACACUUUCUGUGCUACUACUAUUAUGGAGGAAUGAUCUAUACGGGGCUGAAGAACUUUGAAAGAGCGCUGUACUUUUAUGAGCAGGCUAUAACUACUCCUGCCAUGGCCGUCAGCCAUAUCAUGUUGGAAUCAUAUAAAAAGUAUAUUCUAGUGUCUUUGAUAUUACUUGGCAAAGUACAACAGCUGCCUAAAUACACCUCUCAAAUAGUGGGUAGAUUUAUUAAGCCUCUCAGCAAUGCUUACCAUGAGUUAGCACAAGUUUAUUCAACCAACAACCCGUCUGAGCUGCGGAACCUGGUGAGCAAGCACAGCGAGACCUUCACUCGAGACAACAACAUGGGCCUGGUGAAGCAGUGCCUGUCGUCUCUUUAUAAGAAGAACAUUCAGAGGCUGACAAAGGGCUAGAGCAGGGUAUUUGAGAAGAGGAGCAGGUGAAGAGGAGGAAAGGUAGGAGAUACAGCUACACUGGGAGGCAGAGAGGUAGCCCUGAAGGGGUGACCAGUUCCAAGUGGGCAGUCAUGGGUGGCUAGUGAUCGCUGGCCUCAACUCUCAGGCUGUGCUGAUCUCUGCUUUGAUGUGAGAAAACUGACAUUACCAUGUGGGCCAGAGCUAGACAAGCCACAGUGCUUAAGUUGUAGGAGAUAAGGGAGUUUUUAUUUAUUUACACAGGAUCGUCCUAUGUUGCCCAAGUGGACCUUAAACUCAUGAUCCUCCUGCCUUCGUGUCCAGAGUGCUAGAGUUACAGGUGUGUGUCACCAUGUCCUGCUCUUCAUCUUUAUGUUCAGGGUUUCUGAUGAUAGCAAACACCUGCUGGGUCUGAUGGCAUGUGCAUGUAGUCCUAGCACUGGGAAUGCUGAUGGAGGAGGAUUUCUUAAGGCUAGUCCAAGCAGUGUUACAAGACUGACUCAAGAGAAAAAAAAAGAAAUAGGCUUUUUAUUAAGUGUUUGAACUGUAAAGCAAAACAUAAAUUAAAUUCCUUCUUCAAAAGGUGUAUGCUGGAAGUAAUAGGAAUUUUACUAAGAAAAGCUUAUGUAGCUUUCUGGGUGAAGAGGCAGCUCACAGCCUGGCAGGGACAGCUGGCGAGAUGAUGGGGAUCCCAGUGUUCCCAUGCUUGUGCCCAUCAUCAGUAGCUGGUGGUAGGAAAGUGUAGGAGCCAGGCUGUAGCUGGGAUGCCCAUGUGACGAAAGCAGGAAGUGAUGAUGGAUACCAAAGGAAAAAGUAGGGAGUGGAGUGGGUGGAGAUGGACAGGCCAUUGGGAACAUGGGGCCUGGAGGAGAAGAGGGGACAGGGAACUCUCACUGGUCAACAGGAGGAGUUCCUCCCAGUAGUCUAGACUCUAGGAAGAACGAGGAACAGCUUCCUGACUAAAAAGAAUUAGAAGUCAAUUUGUAAGGAAAAUGAAGAAUGAGACAAAGAAAAGCAACUUAGAAAAGUUCUACAACAAAUGUAACCUGUCAGCUAGAAAAAUCAACUGUAGAAAUCUAAUAUGGUUGGAUAUGCUAGCAUAUGCCUGUGAUCCCAGCACUUGGAAUGCAGAGCUAAGCAGAUCUCUGAGUUCAAAACCAGCCUAGUAUACGUAGAGUUCCAGGCUAGCCAGGACUACAUAGUGAGAUCCUGUCUCAAAACAAAGAAGUCAAUCUAAUAUAUGCAGGCAUUGCUAUGAAAAUCAUCAGCCACAGUUUAAUAUUUUGAAACAGUUAGUAGCUUGUACUUUUGAGCUAGCAAUAAAGUAAAAUGUGUUUUGUAGUUUAGAUAGGAUAAUCCAGAACAAAAUAAGCACACAAAUAUAAAAAUAAAAUUAUAAAAAAAAUUAAAAUUUUAAGAAAAAAGAAUUUGAUCAAAUAAACAGGGUCCUAAAGUGGUCUGAGCAGAGCUGAGGCAAGCAGCUCAUUCAUUGUGUCCAGGUCCUUCCUGGGCAGCUCACGGUAGAUGAUAACAUAGAGUUUAUGAGUGCUGUCCAGGGCAUCUAGGGGAAGACCACCAUAGAGUGAGGUAGUGCUGCAGUAAUAGUAGCAGAAGAAAACGAAGUUUCUAGACGAAUGAAGCCUCUUUCUUACUAGCAAAUCACAAAGAAGCUAUUCAUAGAAGCCUCAGCAGAUAGACUUGUGUGUAUUGAUGUUUGCGAUGGGAUCUCUGUCUCAAGGUGGCCAGGUACAGUGGCCAUUGUUGGGAAUUUUAUCUGCCUCAUCCAUUGUAGAGAGGUUACUUUCUGUCACUGUUUGGACAUUGGUUGGUUGGUUGUUUGAGACAAAGUCUCACUGUGUAGCCCUUUAUGACCUAGAACCUUCCCACCAAGCUAGGGCAGCCUUGAACUCCACAGAGAUCUAUCCGUCUGUCUCAGCUUCUGGAGUGCUGGGAUUAAAGGUUUGUUCAACCAUGCCAGGCCGGACAGUAGACUUAGAUUCCUCUCAUGUCUCUUAUGUGUGUUUGUGAAGAGAGUCAUUUGUCAUUAGGAGCAUUCUGCUCUCUCCUGGUCUUCCCCUCAGUAUGUCCUGAACCUCUUUUCCAUGGCAUCCUAAGCCUGUAUCACAGAUACUUAACUGCAGGCACUCUCUCACUAGCCCCAGUGGGAAGGCAGUCUCCCUGUGGUGUAUGGUUUUCCUCCUGAUGUUAGAAUGAGCAUUUUCCCUAGGAUGGAUGUCCCUUUUGGUUUCCUUUUCAACAUUUGAAUAGCCCUAGAUCUUCUGACUUCUGAAACCUGAGCUGUUUCUUUCUUUCUUAUGAAAAUGUUGCAUAUGUAUAGGAAACUGACUAUCUCCUUACUCUGCCUGAGAGUAACAGCUAAGAUCACUGGUUUCAUUCAAGUCGCUGAAAAAAGUGUGUGUGGGGGUGUGUAGGUGUGUGGGGGUGUGCUUGCGCACAUCGGUGUAAAGCAGAGAACACUUCAUGGGAACCAGUGGGUCUCCCUCCACCCUUAGGUGUAGGGACUGAACUAGGGUUGUCAGCCUGGCUGCAGGCACUUACACUCAGGAAGUGUAAGUCAUCACUCAGCAGCAAGUCAUUUUCACGAAGAAAAUUUUAUUUUAUGUAGCAAUAGAAAGAAUACUGAACACAGUUCAUACCUUUUUUACAUUUCUACAUGUGAUUAAUUUACUUCUGACUUUCAGACUUUUUUAACACUAUCAUUACAAGAUAUGGCAAGCCGUGUACAGUUAUCUGGACCACAGGAGGCAGAAAAAUAUGUUCUACACAUGAUAGAAGAUGGAGAAAUUUUUGCAAGUAUUAACCAGAAGGAUGGAAUGGUCAGUUUCCAUGAUAACCCUGAGAAGUAUAAUAACCCAGCCAUGCUUCAUAACAUCGACCAAGAGAUGCUAAAAUGCAUAGAGCUGGAUGAGCGACUGAAGGCUAUGGACCAGGAGAUCACGGUGAACCCCCAGUUUGUUCAAAAGAGCAUGGGCUCACAAGAAGAUGACUCAGGAAACAAGCCCUCCAGCUACUCUUGAAACUAACCCCCAUCUUGAGGUAACAGAACCUUGGCCUGGCAAGUGUGAAGAGCGCAGCAGGAAGUACCAUGCGGGUUCCAUGCCGGUUCCUCCUGGACAGUCAGAAAUUCAGUUUAACAUCUGCAGUCCUAUUGCUUUCAGAAAACCAUUCUCUGCAAAGAAAGGAAAAAAAAAAUCCUA